CAACGGGGGCAGAGGACAAAGGGGGUGGACAUGAAGGGGAGGACAUGAAGGGGGGCAGAGGACAACGAGGGGGGAGGACAGAGGACGGGGGGGGGGACAAUCUCUGUUUGUGUCUCUGGAUGAUAGUUUCCACACAUCCUGGAAAACCGGGUAAUCUGUAAUGCUGCUUUCCAGUCCUGGAAAAGUCCUGGAAAGUGUAAACAGGACGUCCUGGUUUCAGCUGAAGCUCGUUAACAGUCGUGAAAUGAUACAAAUGAACGUUGACAUUACGACAUAUUUACAUAUAUUUCAGACUCUGGUUCUUACGGUGGCCCUGAAGGACAAAUCCAGCGUUUCAGUGUUUUUAUUUUUAAAUAUUUCUCUUCACAUUUGUGUCUCUAAAGUCAAAGUGACCUUUAAAAACAAAAAUAUCAUGAAAUAUACGAGAAUGUUUAUCACUGAAUAAAAACAAACUAAAGGACGGACAAAUGAACAGGUGAACUAAUAUUUCUCUUAGUGCUUUUGCUUUUUGCUCUUGUAUGUGUUUUGUCCUCAGGGGCCACCGUCAUUUCUAGAGCAAAGACUUUAAAGGACACGUCUCCUGUGGUCCGCUAUCCCACAGUCUAUUGCAUGCACCUUUACUCGUGUAAAGGUGCGUUCAGGUGCUCUUUGUCAUUCAUUAACAGUGUGUCGAGGAGGUAAUCGGAUGAGUUGACGAGAAGUACGGAAGCAAAGAAAGUCCAUAACUAAACCAAACACCUCAGUGUGAAGUUAAACCACUACUGAAUUCUUAAAGUUGACGUGAUGACAAAAUUUAAAGCACUGAAAUAUUUUACUUUAAAAACCACCUGACGGUUUGAAUUGAAAGGUCAUUUCAGGAUGUGCAAUUUCACAAACUUCAUUUUUUUCACAAAUUAAAUCUAAUUUUCAAAUAAAAUAAUAAAAAAAUUACUAAAAUUUGUCAUUUUCCAGGCAAAAAAAUCACGUUACAUUUUCCUGGUUAAAUUCAGAGACCUGAAGUCAAACAUCUGGGCUACCGAUCGGUCCAAUCAGGUAACAUCCCGUCAGUCAUGUGAUCCAAGAAAAGUUCAGAUGAGCAACUGGAAACUGGAAAGAUUCAAUUUAUAGCGGCUUUCUUUGCUUCCAUAAAAGCACCUGAACACAUCGUCAGUUUUAUCUGUGUGAUGUGACGUCGUCUGAUUCGUGGAGGACGUUAAGCCCCGCCUCCUCGCAGGGGGCGGGGCCUGAGCUGUGGCGCACCUUGAGUAUUUUCCAAAACAGUGAGAACUGCAGUGGAAACAGCGGAAAACGAAGGUGUAAUCUCUGAUUCUUUGCAGCAGGUCUGGUUGAGAUGUUUUGGUUGGACGCUGAAGGAGACGCAGCCUGAAAGAGAAAAUGAGGAAGAGUUUUUACUGUUGAAGAAGAUCUCAAACAGAAACAGUUGAAGACGUCGUCUGUACUGACUGACCUCUGACCUCUGCAAGGCCACAAUAAAACCAUCAUUUCAAGAAAUAAA